rnacentral:rRNA from 1 species
GAUGAACGCUGGCGGCGUGCCUAAUACAUGCAAGUCGAACGAAACUUCUUUAUCACCGAGUGCUUGCACUCACCGAUAAAGAGUUGAGUGGCGAACGGGUGAGUAACACGUGGGCAACCUGCCCAAAAGAGGGGGAUAACACUUGGAAACAGGUGCUAAUACCGCAUAACCAUAGUUACCGCAUGGUAACUAUGUAAAAGGUGGCUAUACUACCGCUUUUGGAUGGGCCCGCGGCGCAUUAGCUAGUUGGUAGGGUAAAGGCUUACCAAGGCAAUGAUGCGUAGCCGAAUUGAGAGGUUGAUUGGCCACAUUGGGACUGAGACACGGCCCAAACUCCUACGGGAGGCAGCAGUAGGGAAUCUUCCACAAUGGGCGAAAGCCUGAUGGAGCAACGCCGCGUGGGUGAAGAAGGUCUUCGGAUCGUAAAACCCUGUUGUUAGAGAAGAAAGUGCGUGAGAGUAACUGUUCACGUUUCGACGGUAUCUAACCGGAAAGCCACGGCUAACUACGUG